GUUAAACAUUUAAUAUUUCAGAAAAUCUAAAGUUUAAAAUUUGAAGUUUGUUAUCAAAUUUAAAAGGAGUGCAAUGCAAACACUAUUUAACGGAGCAAACCAGAACUAUAAAUGAUGAUGUUUGAGAAGUGCACUCUUCUCUGCUCUCUACUUAUAAUAGGCUCUAGAGCAGGGUUUGUUCUAGAGCUAGGGGAGGUGG